ACAAGAGCUGACUGUGUCUCUGGGAAGACAUUUUACUCAUUUGCUUUCUUAUUUCCUAGAGUUUUCUAGUUCUGCUCUCAGGUGUUUGCUACCUAUUAGAAUUUCACCUGUCGAGGCACAGUGGUUGAGAAAAUUCGGCAACCUGUCAGCUGGUGUAGGUCUCAUAAAGAGUAAAGACAGCUCUGUUCAGGGUUUGAAAGGGGCUGCAGUUUAAAGCUAGGAGUAGGACUUGAAGGAUGUGUAAGGCAACCAGGAGAGACGGGGGGAAGAAAAACCGAACUGGAUUCACUCUGGAUGGAGAAGAAGAAAGAUUGCGGGGGGCGGGGGAGGGGGGGAGAGACGGAGCCUCCAAGCAUCUGCAAGUGUCGCUGUCCGGGAAAAGUGCUCCAAGCCCCCGAGGCCGAGUGGGACUGAGGAGCCCCCGUGGACUUUGCCUUUCUUCUGCCAAUCAAACGACUUCCGAGCCAACAGCCUGAACUGGCAGGAACCUGGAUUGCUUCCUGCUUAGUCCCAUCAGUGAGCCAGGAACCAAAUAUCUUCUCAUAAUAUUUAUCCUCAAAC